GAUGAAGAACGUAGCGAAAUGCGAUAAGUAGUGUGAAUUGCAGAAUUCAGUGAAUCAUCGAAUCUUUGAACGCACAUUGCGCCCGCCAGCAUUCUGGCGGGCAUGCCUGUUCGAGCGUCAUUUCAACCCUCGACCUCCCUUUGGGGAAGUCGGCGUUGGGGACCGGCAGCACACCGCCGGCCCUGAAAUGGAGUGGCGGCCCGUCCGCGGCGACCUCUGCGUAGUAAUCCAACUCGCACCGGAACCCCGACGCGGCCACGCCGUAAAACACCCAACUUCUGAACGUUGACCUCGAAUCAGGUAGGACUACCCGCUGAACUUAAGCAUAUCAAUAAGCGGAGGA
rnacentral:misc_RNA from 1 species